AAAAUGAAACUAUUGUUUGCGAUGUUUUGAAACGAAAAACGGAAACGUUUUCGGAACGUUUAUUAAGAAAAACGUUACGUUUCCGAACUGAAUUAUCGACUUUUACUCCGUCGCUCGGUUGCGAAAACUUUCUUCACGAAAGUUGUAGAGCUCGUCGAUACGAGUUCGAGAGUAUGUGACGCGUUCGAAUCGGACGUCGGAGGUAAAAGUUAUUAACGUCGGAAGUUAGUUUCCGAUUUGGAAACUAGUAUAAAUAGAUAAUUAUGGAAUUAGGGUUUCCAUAAUCAGAAACCCUUUCUCUCUCUCUCUCUCAUCCCGCCGCUCUCCCUUUCUCUCUCCCUCCCUCGCGACUCUCUCUCCCCUAUCUCUCCUUCCAAGCCGGCGAUUUCCCUCCAAUCGCCUCCGUGCUCGACACCGCCGGUGUCACAGAGACCGCGUGACCACGACGCAGCGAUCGGUAGUAGCGGCGACGCACCCCGAGCGGGGAUCGAGCAACACCGACGAAGCUUGACCUCGGGAUCGUCGAGUUCGACGCGGCCGGCAUCGUAGGAGCUCGGCGCCACCACCACGACCUCGCCCUUUCCUCCGCGACACGAACCUACCCACGGGGGACUCACCUCGAGCAGCGGCGCCAUCGAUCACCCUUCCUCCGAAACCGAGUCUCACGGCGACUUUUGGAGCUUCAUCGAGGGAAUCCGACGGUCCAAAACGUCGAUAGAGGUGAUCGCUAAAUCGAGGAAAGGAAAUAUCAUCGGGAAUUGUGGAUUUACGCUCGAGUCGUUAAGGGGAUACUUCCGCAGGUGCUGAGUAGUAGUGAUUGAGUGACGACUCCGAAGACUCGAAGUCGAUCGCAUCCAGUCGUGGUGAGGUUCCAGCGUGGAUUUUGUGUGAGAUUUGGUGUGAUUUUAUUUGUGAGGUUAUUGUGAGGAUUAUACAAUUCCAUUUGUUAUAUGUUGAAUUAUCAUUUGGGUUUGUAAUAAUCGGCUUGACUGAGUUAUAUUUUAAACUCAGAUGUGAUCCGCUGCGACAUUAAAAUGAUUUCGAUUUCAUUGAGAUUAUUUUUGUGUUUAACGAUUUUAAGAUUUUGAGUGUUGAAGCUCGAAAUUUUAGGGUC